rnacentral:tRNA from 2 species
GGCGCGUUGGUGAAAUUGGUUAACACACUGCCCUUUCAAGGCAGGAUGUACGGGUUCAAAUCCCGUACGCGUCACCA